rnacentral:rRNA from 1 species
GAUGAACCUGAAUAUCUGAAUUGAGAAAUUCAAUAUUGUUAUUUCGAUGACGGUAUGCACUUUUCUCAUAGUAGGACAUUGCGAUCCAUUAGUAGUCUUUUUGAGACGGUUUAUCAAACGGCUCGUGAGCAAGUUUAACCUAUCUGCAAUAUUUAUAUUGUAUGGUUAAGGCUGUACGAUGUCCUGGUAAACAGCUGAUGGAACUUUAAAAUCAUGCAACCAUGCAUAUGUAUCACGGUCUGAAUAUAUUUAUAUAAUUGGAUGCAGUGAUCGCAUGUAUUUGAUUAGCAAUGCGAUAGAUUUGGGAUACCUUCGGGACCCGUCUUGAAACACGGACCAAGAAGUCUAACAUGUGUGUAAGUCAUUGGGUAUUUUAUUGAAACCUAAAGGCGUAAUUAAAAUAACUAUUUUAAUGGGAUUACAAGCAAUCAUUAACGAUUGUUUCUCCAUCCCGGGGCGUUCUAUAUGAACAUGGUUUAAGCAAUUAGACCCUCUGUUCGAGAGCGUACCUUGAACAUACAUGCUGUGACCC